rnacentral:rRNA from 1 species
AAGGAAUAUUGGUCAAUGGGCGCAAGCCUGAACCAGCCAUGCCGCGUGCAGGAAGACGGCCCUAUGGGUUGUAAACUGCUUUUGUCAGGGAAUAAACCCCCGUACGUGUACGGGGCUGAAGGUACCUGAAGAAUAAGCAUCGGCUAACUCCGUGCCAGCAGCCGCGGUAAUACGGAGGAUGCAAGCGUUAUCCGGAUUCAUUGGGUUUAAAGGGUGCGCAGGCGGAUUGAUAAGUCAGGGGUGAAAUCCCACAGCUCAACUGUAAAAGUGCCUGCGAAACUGGUUUCCUUGAGGGCGGAUGAGGUAGGCGGAAUGUGGGGUGUAGCGGGGAUAUGAUUAGAUAUCACGAGGAACUCCGAUUGCGCAGGCAGCUUACCAAGCCGUAACUGACGCUCAAGCACGAAGGCGUGGGGAUCAAACA